UGUCGCCCAGGGCUGGGACAUUUCCCAUCUGACACUGCCACCCACAGACAUCUGUACUCCCUCACGGCUGCCAAACCCUCCUCUGCUGUCUGUUUUCUGUCGUCUUAGAGGGAGGGCUGAGUAAACAAACCGGAGAGAACACGUGACUUUCUGAAGACUGAGUGGGAAGCAGCGUUGAAAACAGACAGAGGGCUCUAUCCCCGUGAGAUUUAACCAUCGACUCGACAUACCUAGAGUCUCCCGAGCUGCAAGUCUCAAUUGUAGGAGUGCCCAAAUCAGACCAGCCUGAGGCCUGUCGACAGGAGCUUGUAUGGAUUGGCAACUGAUGUAGGAAGGACCAGCCCGGACAGCAAGGAUGUGCCAACUGCACCAGAGAGGCUCUUUCUAAACAGUGUAAAGAGUGCCAGCAGGAAAAGGAAGCCUGCUCAGAUGAUACUGACUUAAAGACCUGGUGAGCACAGAUGGUGGUGAUAAAUCUUGUUUUUGGAGUAGACUGAUUUGCAACAGCUGCCGCCGAGCAAGUUUUCGGAAUGCACAUCUAAGCACACUCAAUAUUUGAGUCCAAAUUGUUUGUUUCAUGGGUUCCUUUUUCUUUUUUGUUUUUCACGGUUUAUUUUAUUUUUAUUUAUGUGUCUGUGUGAGUGUUCGCCAUGUGUGUAUGGGUGCUCUUGGAGGCCAGCAGAGGAUGUCGUAGUUCCUGGAAGCGGAGUUACAGGAGGUUGUGAGCCCUCCAACGUGUGUGCUGGGACUCAAAGGUGGGUCCUUUUCUUAGCUGCUGAGCUGUCCCUCUAGCUCAGCAGUUCUCAACCUUUGGGUCACGGCUCUUUGGGGGUCAAAUCACCCUUUCACGGGUCCCCUAAGACCAUCUGAAAACACAGAUAUUGACAUUAAGAUUCAUAAUACUAGCAAAAUUACAGUUAUGAAGUAGCAAUAAAAAUAAUUUUAGGCUUAGGGGUCACACCCUGAAGAACUGUAUUAAAGGGUCCGCAGCAUAGGAAGGUUGAGAACCACUGCUCUAGCUCCUCGGUCCGUCAUUGUCAUUUUUAUCAGCAGCAAUGGAUUUAUGACCCAUUUUGGCGACUCUUCUGGUAGGCAUAAGAAUUUAUUUCCCAUCCGUGUGAGUUACACAGCUCUCAACAGGACACUGGCACACCAUCAUCUUCCCUUCAUCCCUCCCCUCUCAGAGCUUUGCACCCCUGGACCUGUGGACCUUCCUUCAAUUCUCACAGACAAGGACCAGCUGCUAAGGAUAAUUAGGAAUGGAGACUCAGCAGGGAGCUGGGUGAGUAGAAAGUCACUCAGCUAAAGCUGUCCCAGUGUCCCCAGUCUCCUGGAGAAGUUUUCAGAGACAAGCUGGCUUCUGUGCUCUCCAGUGUGACAAUAAAACCCACCCACCUAAAGAUAAUUGUGUCUACCAAUACACCAGUGGUUGAUUCAGCAUGCUGGAUUCGUUUUCUGACUGGCUGGGCAGCUCUGAGAAGUAAGGCUGAUUACUGGGAUGUACAAGCAAGCAGGUACCGCCAUAUGUAUAAACGACUACAACUCUAAGUGGCAUCGAUGUUCAUUCGUUUGGUUUGGUUUUGGUUUUUUGAGACAGGGUUUUUCUGUGUAACCAGCCCUGGCUGUCCUGGAACUCACUUUGUAGACCAGGCUGGCCUCAAAUUCACAGAGAUCCACCUGCCUCUGCUUCUGAGUGCUGGAAUUAAAGGCAUGUGCCGCCACCACCUGGCUUGUGGUCAUUUUUUUUUUUAAAGUCUAUCUUAAAAAAUAACUUUUUAUUCUGAAACAGUUUGAAAGUUUUUCAGACUUCAGGAAGCCAGUAUUUUUGCCUUACAGUCAAGUACAAUUCAUCUCUAUGUAGACUUUUCCCAUCUCUGUAGAUUGUUCUGAAGAAACCACGUAACUUUAUUCUCAUAAUCAUUCCUACAAGGAAAAUAUAAUCUACGCUGAGAAAAUGAAAACUCUAGGGAGGGCCAGAGUGAUGGUACAGUGAGUAAAGGUACUUGCCACGUAAACCCGGAGAUGUGAGUUCAAUCCCUAGAACCCAUGCAUGGGUGGGAGGAGAUAAUUGACUCCACAGAAUUAUCCUCUGAUACAUGCACUGUGACAUGAACACCCACAUGUAUAUCAUAUACACACCCAAAAUAAUUAAUUAAAAAAAUUAAACCCUCAUGGUUUAAAGAGGUUUAAAGAUUACUCUCCUAAGGAUGCACAGGUUGAAUUCAGAAUGAGGCCAGAGGGAUGUGGGCACAGCUCAGGCCCUGAGCCCGGCAGCCGUGAGGCCCUGGGUUUAUCCCCAGCACUACAAGGCAUUUGCCAGGGCAAGCUCGGGUUAUUAGUGAUGACUGAGGCUCGAUAACCAAGGGGCAAUGAGGACCAAGUCCCCAAGCUCAGAUUUUCAAUCUCUGUCACCCUUCUUUCUGCUACAGUCUAACGCUUGGAUCUCUGCUGUCUACUGCAAAGAAGUGGAGCUGACGGACAAAGGAUUCGAAGAUUCUCAGUGGGAAGAGCCAGGCUCCGGCCACUGUUGCGGCCACUGUUGCAGCCUCUGUUUGCCCAAUCACUUUGCUUCAACGGUACAGUCAGCUGAUUCCAAGGUCAGAUUCAUCAGUUCCCCUGAACUUCAAGAGCAACCGACAGGAGAGUCCUUGUAAUGCUUUUAAUACGGCUUCUUCACAUCAGCUCCAAAUGUGAUCUGGCACUUUUCAAAUCACUUGACUCUUCAAGGAGAGUCCCAGCAGGAGAGUCACCCCACAAGGAAGCUGGGCAGCCUGUCAUGGAGGCCAGCUGUACAGGUGGGGCGGGUGGAGCUUCGGGGACAUUGGUAGGUCAGUGGAAACCAGAUCCGUGAGUUAAGGUAUGAUAGCGAGCGGCCCAGUUUUUAUAAUCAAGGACACUGAGGUUGCCCAGCUCCUCGGAAGACUUAAAGUAUGUACACGCCAAAAGCCCUACUUGAUUCAGUCAGAAAGGGUAUGGAAAAUUAGCACUCAUUCACUAUACUUUAUAUCUUUUGGACAAGAAUAAAAUAAACAGCACGAACUUUGAA